rnacentral:rRNA from 1 species
AACGCUGGCGGCGCGCUUAACACAUGCAAGUCGAGCGAGAACCGGGACUUCGGUCCCGGGGACAGCGGCGAACGGGUGAGUAACACGUGGGUAAUCUGCCCUCGAUUCUGGGAUAGCCCGGGGAAACCCGGAUUAAUACCGGAUAGCCUUUCGAGCCCUCGGGCGCGAAAGAAAAGGUAGCUUCGGCCUCCGAUCGAGGAUGAGCCCGCGGUGGAUUAGCUUGUUGGUGAGGUAAUGGCUCACCAAGGCGACGAUCCAUAGCUGGUCUGAGAGGACGAUCAGCCACACUGGGACUGAGACACGGCCCAGACGCCUACGGGAGGCAGCAGUGGGGAAUCUUGCGCAAUGGGCGAAAGCCUGACGCAGCGACGCCGCGUGGGGGAAGAAGGCCUUAGGGUUGUAAACCUCUUUCAGGCGGGACGAGGCCACUCGGGUUAACAGCCCAGAGGGUGACGGUACCGCCAGAAGAAGCCCCGGCUAACUACGUGCCAGCCGCCGCCGUAAAAC